AACUGGAUAGCCUAGUGGUCAAAGGCAGCACUUCUAGCAAUGAUGAAGUCCCAGAUUCAAAUCUGGGUCUAGUCA
rnacentral:tRNA from 1 species